rnacentral:rRNA from 1 species
CGGCUAACUACGUGCCAGCAGCCGCGGUAAUACGUAGGUGGCAAGCGUUGUCCGGAAUUAUUGGGCGUAAAGCGCGCGCAGGCGGUUUCUUAAGUCUGAUGUGAAAGCCCCCGGCUCAACCGGGGAGGGUCAUUGGAAACUGGGGAACUUGAGUGCAGAAGAGGAGAGUGGAAUUCCACGUGUAGCGGUGAAAUGCGUAGAGAUGUGGAGGAACACCAGUGGCGAAGGCGACUCUCUGGUCUGUAACUGACGCUGAGGCGCGAAAGCGUGGGGAGCGAACAGGAUUAGAUACCCUGGUAGUCCACGCCGUAAACGAUGAGUGCUAAGUGUUAGAGGGUUUCCGCCCUUUAGUGCUGCAGCAAACGCAUUAAGCACUCCGCCUGGGGAGUACGGUCGCAAGACUGAAACUCAAAGGAAUUGACGGGGGCCCGCACAAGCGGUGGAGCAUGUGGUUUAAUUCGAAGCAACGCGAAGAACCUUACCAGGUCUUGACAUCCUCUGACAACCCUAGAGAUAGGGCUUCCCCUUCGGGGGCAGAGUGACAGGUGGUGCAUGGUUGUCGUCAGCUCGUGUCGUGAGAUGUUGGGUUAAGUCCCGCAACGAGCGCAACCCUUGAUCUUAGUUGCCAGCAUUCAGUUGGGCACUCUAAGGUGACUGCCGGUGACAAACCGGAGGAAGGUGGGGAUGACGUCAAAUCAUCAUGCCCCUUAUGACCUGGGCUACACACGUGCUACAAUGGGCAGAACAAAGGGCAGCGAAGCCGCGAGGCUAAGCCAAUCCCACAAAUCUGUUCUCAGUUCGGAUCGCAGUCUGCAACUCGACUGCGUGAAGCUGGAAUCGCUAGUAAUCGCGGAUCAGCAUGCCGCGGUGAAUACGUUC